rnacentral:rRNA from 1 species
UACGAGGGGGGCGAGCGUUGUUCGGAAUUAUUGGGCGUAAAGGGUGCGUAGGCGGUUUGGUAAGUCUGAUGUGAAAUCUAUGGGCUCAACUCAUAGUCUGCAUCGGAAACUGCCGGGCUUGAGUGUGGGAGAGGUGAGUGGAAUUCCUGGUGUAGCGGUGAAAUGCGUAGAUAUCGGAAGGAACACCUGUGGCGAAAGCGGCUCACUGGACCAUAACUGACGCUGAGGCGCGAAAGCUAGGGGAGCAAACAGG